GACGAACGCUGGCGGCGUGCCUAAUACAUGCAAGUCGAACGAACCGCGACUAGGUGCUUGCACUUGGUCAAGGUGAGUGGCGAACGGGUGAGUAACACGUGGGUAGCCUACCUCAUAGUGGGGGAUAACAGUCGGAAACGACUGCUAAUACCGCAUAGGACAUAGGAUCACAUGAUCCAGUGAGGAAAGGUGGCGCAAGCUAUCGCUAAGAGAUGGACCCGCGGUGCAUUAGCUAGUUGGUAGGGUAAAGGCCUACCAAGGCGAUGAUGCAUAGCCGACCUGAGAGGGUGAUCGGCCACAUUGGGACUGAGACACGGCCCAAACUCCUACGGGAGGCAGCAGUAGGGAAUCUUCCGCAAUGGACGCAAGUCUGACGGAGCAACGCCGCGUGAGUGAAGAAGGUCUUCGGAUCGUAAAGCUCUGUUGUUAGAGAAGAACAGCGCAUAGAGUAACUGUUAUGCGUGUGACAGUAUCUAACCAGAAAGCCACGGCUAACUACGUG
rnacentral:rRNA from 1 species